UUGUCUUACUGACUUCCCAUCUACUCUAAGACUUGGCACCUCUGGACGGGUCCACUCUUUGCCUCUCGCUCGAAUCCCAGUCCUCGAUCACCAUCUUACUUGGCAAAAGGUCAGCAGGGAUCUCAGCAGCCGCACAGCCCAAGAGAGUUAGGAAUCGAAACCAACUCACCCCGAGUUCCAGAAGUCCUAUCUGUGAUUCCGUGAUUCUCCUGCUUCCUCCUGCUGCGCUAUGGCUCCCCUGGAGUCUGAGGACUCAGCCCGGUUUUUCCGAGGGGCGCUGGUCCUUGGUCUAUCCUGCGCUCCGUGCCAGUGUUCCAGUAGGAUCAGUCUCCCACUGGCCACUGUGAUCUUCUUCCGCGCUGACAAUGCACCCCAGACCAGGACAGGUCCCCCGGUCUCCGAGGCCCCUUCCGCUUGGUGCAGCCCUUUCAAUGGCGUGCCGCAUGGCC
rnacentral:lncRNA from 1 species